rnacentral:sRNA from 1 species
GCUGGGCUCAGUGGUGUGCACCUGUAAUCCCAGCAGCUUGGGAGGCUGAGGCAGGAUUAAAGCCAGCCUCAGCAAUGGCAAGGCACUAAGCAAGUCAGUGAGACCCUGUCUCUA